GACGAACGCUGGCGGCGUGCUUAACACAUGCAAGUCGUGCGGUAACAGGCGUAGCAAUACGUGCUGACGAGCGGCGAACGGGUGCGUAAUACAUGGGAAUCUGCCCUUUGGUGGGGAAUAACCCGGCGAAAGCCGGGCUAAUGCCGCAUAAGAUCUUCGGAUGAAAGCGGGGGAUCGUAAGACCUCGCGCCGAUGGAUGAGCCCAUGUCGGAUUAGCUAGUUGGUGAGGAACGGCUCACCAAGGCGACGAUCCGUAGCUGGUCUGAGAGGACGGCCAGCCACACUGGGACUGAGACACGGCCCAGACUCCUACGGGAGGCAGCAGUGGGGAAUAUUGGACAAUGGGCGAAAGCCUGAUCCAGCGACGCCGCGUGUGUGAAGAAGGCCUGCGGGUU
rnacentral:rRNA from 1 species